UACGGAGGGGGCCAGCGUUGUUCGGAAUUAUUGGGCGUAAAGGGCGCGUAGGCGGCCGGGCAAGUCGGAGGUGAAAUCCCUCGGCUCAACCGAGGAAUGGCCCCCGAUACUGUCUGGCUUGAGUCCCGGAGAGGGUAGCGGAAUUCCUAGUGUAGCGGUGAAAUGCGUAGAUAUUAGGAGGAACACCAGUGGCGAAGGCGGCUACCUGGACGGGUACUGACGCUGAGGCGCGAAAGCGUGGGGAGCAAACAGG
rnacentral:rRNA from 1 species